UAAUACAGAGGGUGCAAGCGUUAAUCGGAAUUACUGGGCGUAAAGGGCGCGUAGGUGGUUUGGUAAGUUGGAUGUGAAAUCCCCGGGCUCAACCUGGGAAUGGCAUUCAAUACUGCCUCACUAGAGUAUGGUAGAGGGAAGCGGAAUUCCACAUGUAGCGGUGAAAUGCGUAGAUAUGUGGAGGAACAUCAAUGGCGAAGGCAGCUUCCUGGACCAAUACUGACACUGAGGCGCGAAAGCGUGGGUAGCAAACAGG
rnacentral:rRNA from 1 species